GACACGGUCCAGACUCCUACGGGAGGCAGCAGUAGGGAGUAUUUGGCAAUGGGGGAAACCCUGACCGAGCAACGCCGCGUGUGCGAUGGAGUCCCUCAGGGACGUGAAGCACUGUGGGGGGCCGCCAAACGGGCGGGCAGGAAAUGGCCCGUCCCCGAGGAGCCCCCUAGAAAGCGACUGCUAACCACGUGCCAGCAGCAGCGGUAAUACGUGGGUCGCAAGCGUUAUCCGGAAUCAUUGGGCGUAAAGAGUGAGCAGGCGGUCCGGGAAGUCCGCGGUGAAAUGCGGGGGCUCAACCCCCGCAGGCCGCGGAUACUUCCGGUCUGGGGUGCGGGAGAGGCGGACGGAACUCCGCGUGUAGCGGUGAAAUGCACUGAUACGCGGAAGAACACCGGUGGCGAAGGCGGUCCGCCAGACCGAUACCGACGCUCAGUCACGAAAGCGUGGGGAGCAAAUAGGAUUAGAUACCCUAGUAGUCCACGCCGUAAACGAUGGGGGCCAGGGCGCGGGGUCGACCCGCGUCCGAAGCAAACGCAUUAAGCCCCCCGCCUGGGUACUACGUUCGCAAGAAUAAAACUUAAAGGAAUUGGCGGGUGCCCGCACAAGCAGUGGAGCAUGCGGUUCAAUUCGUGGCUACACGUAGAACCUUACCAGGGUUUGACAUGCCGGCAAAGGCCCCGGAGACGGGGAGAUAGCUAUGCCGGACAAAGGUGGUGCAUGGCUGUCGUCAGCUCGUGUCGUGAGAUGUUAGGUCAAGUCCUCCAACGAGCGCGACCCCCGCCGCCAGUUGCCAUCAUCAAGUUGGGCACUCUGGCGGGACCGCCGGCGACAAGCCGGAGGAAGGCGGGGAUGACGUCAAGUCAUCAUGCCCCUUAUGCCCUGGGCCACACGCGUGCUACAAUGGCCGGCACAGUGGGAAGCGACGCCGCGAGGCGGAGCGGAUCCCAAAAGCCGGUCCCAGUACGGACCGGGGGCUGCAACCCGCCCCCGCGAAGCUGGAAUUGCUAGUAAUCGCGGAUCAGCCAAGCCGCGGUGAAUGCGUUCUCGGGCAUUGCACACACUGCCCGUCACACCAUGAAAGCCUGCAACGCUCUAAGUCGCCAGCCCGACCCGCGAGGGGGGGCGGCGCCCAAGGCGGGGCCGGUGAUUGGGGUUAAGUCGAAACAAGGUAUCCCUACGAGAACGUGGGGAUG
rnacentral:rRNA from 1 species